GGUUUCUAGUCUGGCAUCACUCUUUUUCUAGUCCUCCCAGAAAGGCAUUGGUUGAGACUGAAGCACAAGAUGGCCUCCUCCUGGGAACAUCAAAAGAAGGGGGAAAAAAUGCCUUCCUGACCUUGAUGUAUCUUCUCAUGUCCACCUGCUUACACUCAGGAUUUAAGAUGAGGCAGCAGGAGCAUGCAUUUGCAGUACAAAUAAAGGAAAAAAGAACAGGUAUCCAUCAAAGAAAACUCCACAGCAAAAUGACUGGGUCAUGCUACAACAGGAAAUCCAAAACAAAAGAAUGGUAACUUUAGAAUAUUUGAAGUCUGCGAUACGCUAUGUUCUUCUUUUGUUUUCAACUUCCAGACUAACGGAUCAAAAGACUUUUUUUUACAAACUAUGUUCUGGACUUGGUUGAUGUGGAGGCAUUUUUUUACGGACAAGUCUACUUGCAAGGAGAGCAUUUAUUUUAAAUCACUCUACAUUCGUUUCAAAUGAAAAAUAUUCAGUUCGCUGGCUAAGAAAUAACCAUAUUCUGUGGAAAGAUA